rnacentral:tRNA from 1 species
CCGCCGGUAGUGUAGUGGUUAUCGCACCAGACUGGUAUUCUGGAGGUCUUGGGUUCGGAUCCCACCCGGCGGG